rnacentral:rRNA from 1 species
GACGAACGCUGGCGGCGUGCCUAAUACAUGCAAGUCGAACGCAUUUUCUUUCACCGUAGCUUGCUACACCGAAAGAAAAUGAGUGGCGAACGGGUGAGUAACACGUGUGUAACCUGCCCAUCAGCGGGGGAUAACACUUGGAAACAGGUGCUAAUACCGCAUAAUUUCAUUUACUGCAUGGUAGAUGGAUGAAAGGCGCUUUUGCGUCACUGAUGGAUGGACCCGCGGUGCAUUAGCUAGUUGGUGGGGUAACGGCCUACCAAGGCUGCGAUGCAUAGCCGACAUGAGAGGAUGAUCGGCCACACUGGGACUGAGACACGGCACAGACGCCUACGGGAAGCAGCAGUAGGGAUUCGUCGGCAAUGGACGCAAGUCUGACCGAGAUGCGCCGAGUGAGUAAGGAAGGUUGUCGGAUCGUAGAACACUGUUGUUAGAAAAGAACAAGGAUGAGAGUGGAAAGUUCAUCCCUUGACGGUAACUAACCAGAAAGCCACGGCUAACUACGUG